CACAGAGGUUAAACCUCCUUGUCAAAGUCUGAACUUGUCAGAAGCUAAGCAGGGCUGGGCCUGGUUAAUACUUGGAUGGGAUACUGCUGGGAAUCAACGGUUGCUGUGU
rnacentral:rRNA from 1 species